rnacentral:rRNA from 1 species
AAUGAACACAAAACUGAUCAUGUUGACAAUCUUUGCACAACCCUGUGUAAUGAUGUGUUUGCUUUUGGCACAGUGCUAUCAAAGCUGCAAGCAAAUGAUAUUUGAAAGGAUACAACAUGGGAUGUGACAUUCAUGUAUGCAUGCCUGCUUUGUCCACAGCCUGUGAUGAAUGAUUCACAUUUCUUGCAACUGAAAUGCAAAUCGCAUGGUAAAGUUCAUGUGACAUGAUACAUGUUUGAGAUUCAUGAUGUGCAAGUACCAUGAGGGAAAUGUGAAAAGGACUUUGGAAAGAGAAUUAAAGAAAGCCUGCAAUUGCUGAUCACAAAAGCAAGUGUGGAUGUCAUCAUAAUGUUACUGCAUCACUUAAUGCUAAUCAGUGUUACUGAAUGCUUUGCAUUACAUUACAGGCCACAAAGUGUGAGUAACAGCAAUGUUACAAGUGUUUCCAUAUGGGAUCAGUUGAAACACUGUUUGCACACACUUCAGUGCCCCCUGUGUAUCACCAUCUCCUACCACUCAUUGUUUGCACACAUGAAAUGCUGUGUUUAUGUGACAUAUCUCUGUGUUCAACCAACAUGUUGUGUAAUACCUCACUUGACCCGUCUUGAAACACGGACCAAGGAGUCUGGCAAGUGUGCAAACUGACUUUCUGUAAUGAUUUGUAUGUAAUGAAAAUGUGUGUGUCAUGACUGCACCACCAAUCAAUAUUCAGUUUGUUGCUUAUUUGAAUGUGAGCAUUGUUGCUAGGACCCGAAAGAUGGUGAACUAUGCUUGUAUAACAUGAGUUCAGAGGAAACUCUGAUGGAAGUUUGUAUCGGUACUGACGUGCAAAUCGUUCGUCACAACUGGNUAUAGGGGCGAAAGACUAAUCGAACCAUCUAGUAGCUGGUUCCUCCCGAAGUUUCCCUCAGGAUAGUUGGGAUUUGUUCAGUUAUAUUAUUUAAAGCGAAUGUUUAAAGGAAUUGGGGGCUUGUUUGCCUUUGACCUAUUCUCAAACUUUUAAUGUGUAUUUUUGUUGGAAUAACACAGAGUAUUGCAUGCAAUGUAAAAAUCAAGUGGGCCAUUUUUGGUAAGCAGAACUGGCGAUGAGGGAUGAACCUAAUGAUGGGUAAACAUGCUUAAAUCCCUGCCUAUGUGAUACCAGAAAGGGUGUUGGUUCAU